GCUAGCAGCCAUUUCACCCUGCAAUUCAAAACUGGCAACCCAAUAAAAGCUAAGCAGAUAAGAGCCUAGUACCUGGAUGGGAGACCUCCUGGUAAAGCUAGGUUGCUGCUGGCA
rnacentral:rRNA from 1 species